AAUAUUUUUUUUAUAAAUAAUUAAUUAUUGAUUAAAUAAUAAAUUUUUAAAAAUAAAAAAAAAUUAAAUUUAUUGAUUUAAAAAACUUUCCAAAAAACUAGGAUUAGAUACCCUACUAUUAAAAAAAAAAUUUAAAAUUUAAAUAUUAAAUAUUAAUUUAUUAAAUUUAAAAAAAUUGACGGUAUUUUUUAUUAGAUAAACUUGAAAUUUAAUUUGUUAAUUCACAAUUCAACCAACUAAUUUAAAAUUUUUAUAUAUUACUGUUUAAAUUUAAUUUUUUUAAUUAAAAUUCCUUUUUAUUUUAAUAAUUUAAUUCAAGUCUAAAUAUAAAUUUAAAUUAGAAUAUUUUAGUUUCUUUAAAAUAUAACUUAAUUAAAUAUUAAAUUUAAUUUUUAAAAAUAUUUAUAUAUUAUCUAAAAAUUAAUAUGUUAGAAUUUAAAAAUAAAAAUUUUUAAAUAAAAAUUUUAAAAACUAUAAUUAAAUAUGUACAUAUAGCCCGUCAUUUUUAUGUUAAAAAUUUUAUUUUUAAUAUAAAACAAGUCGAAACAAAGUAAUUUUACUGGAAAGUAACAUUAGAAUU
rnacentral:rRNA from 1 species